rnacentral:rRNA from 1 species
UACGUAGGGUACAAGCGUUGUCCGGAAUUAUUGGGCGUAAAGAGCUCGUAGGCGGUUUGUCGCGUCUGCUGUGAAAACUGGAGGCUCAACCUCCAGCCUGCAGUGGGUACGGGCAGACUAGAGUGCGGUAGGGGAGAUUGGAAUUCCUGGUGUAGCGGUGGAAUGCGCAGAUAUCAGGAGGAACACCGAUGGCGAAGGCAGAUCUCUGGGCCGUAACUGACGCUGAGGAGCGAAAGCAUGGGGAGCGAACAGG